AACGAACGCUGGCGGCAGGCUUAACACAUGCAAGUCGAGCGCCCCGCAAGGGGAGCGGCAGACGGGUGAGUAACGCGUGGGGAUCUGCCUAGUGGUACGGCACAACUCAGGGAAACUUGAGCUAAUUGCGUAUAAGUCCUUCGGGAGAAAGAUUUAUCGCCAUUAGAUGAACCCGCGUCUGAUUAGCUAGUUGGUGAGGUAACGGCUCACCAAGGCGACGAUCAGUAGCUGGUCUGAGAGGAUGAUCAGCCACACUGGGACUGAGACACGGCCCAGACUCCUACGGGAGGCAGCAGUGGGGAAUAUUGGACAAUGGGCGCAAGCCUGAUCCAGCCAUGCCGCGUGAGUGAUGAAGGCCUUAGGGUUGUAAAGCUCUUUCGUCAGGGAAGAUAAUGACGGUACCUGAAGAAGAAGCCCCGGCUAACUUCGUGCCAGCCGCCGCCGUAACAC
rnacentral:rRNA from 1 species